UACGGGGGGAGCAAGCGUUGCUCGGAUUUACUGGGCGUAAAGGGCGCGUAGGCGGUCAGCACAAGUCAGUUGUGAAAUCUCCGGGCUUAACUCGGAAAGGUCAACUGAUACUGUGCGACUAGAGUGCAGAAGGGGCAACUGGAAUUCUCGGUGUAGCGGUGAAAUGCGUAGAUAUCGAGAGGAACACCUGCGGCGAAGGCGGGUUGCUGGGCUGACACUGACGCUGAUGCGCGAAAGCCAGGGGAGCGAACGGG
rnacentral:rRNA from 1 species